UUGGAGGGCAAGUCUGGUGCCAGCAGCCGCGGUAAUUCCAGCUCCAAUAGCGUAUAUUAAAGUUGUUGCAGUUAAAAAGCUCGUAGUUGAAUUUCGGGGUUAGUAGGUUGGUCGUGCCUCAGGUAUGUACUGAUCUCACUGAUUCCUCCUUCCUGAUGAACCGUAAUGCCAUUAAUUUGGUGUUGCGGGGAAACUGGACUGUUGCUUUGAAAAAAUUAGAGUGUUUAAAGCAGGCUAACGCUUGAAUACAUUAGCAUGGAAUAAUGAAAUAGGACGUUCGAUCCUAUUUUGUUGGUUUCUAGGAUUGACGUAAUGAUUAAUAGGGAUAGUUGGGGGCAUUAGUAUUCAAUUGUCAGAGGUGAAAUUCUUGGAUUUAUUGAAGACUAACUACUGCGAAAGCAUUUGCCAAGGAUGUUUUCAUUAAUCAGGAACGAAAGUUAGGGGAUCGAAGACGAUCAGAUACCGUCGUAGUCUUAACCAUAAACUAUGCCGACUAGGGAUGGGACGGUGUUAUUUUUUGACCCGUUCGGCGCCUUACGGGAAA
rnacentral:rRNA from 1 species